rnacentral:rasiRNA from 1 species
UAGACCGUAAAUAAAAAGCUGAGA